CUCUCCAUCCCGAAAUCCCUCCUAAUAAAACACAGAUUUCGCCCUCUCGUCCUCUCAUUACUUUAGGCUAUUGGGAAGGAGAUGUGCGCGACUGGGCAGGGAGACGACGUCGAGCCUCCACUUGGGUUCGAGUAGGGCGCGUGGAAGGGACUCCUUGGAACACAACUCCCAUUGCCCAAUGACGUUUGAAGUACAUCGUUGUUUCGAGAUGGAGUUGUUCUAAGAUUCAACCACGAGCAUGAGAAGAAGCAACGGAUGAUGGGACGCUAAGAUGAAUUGGAGCAGCUGGGAAUACCAUCAAACCUCACGGUAAUUUGUGCACGAUGUUUCAUAUAUGAACCAAUUUUAUUGGAUAUUUUUACAUCUCACUGGGUCUCCUUACAAGCAAGAACAAUCUACCCUCGUUAUUGCCACUUACACAAGAAAAUAAACCAAUCAAUAACGAGAUUUUUUUUUUCUGAUUUACUAACGUGAUACUAAAUCCUGUACCAACUCCGCCACAGCUGACUCGAACAGGGCAUUUUCCAGUUGCAUCCCCAGUUCCUCCUCUACCUCGUCGAAGCAUCUCCACCGUCCGUUCCCCUCCAUCUCCCUCAGCGUCACCUCCCC